rnacentral:rRNA from 1 species
GACGAACGCUGGCGGCGUGCUUAACACAUGCAAGUCGAACGGAAAGGCCCUGCGUUUGUGGGGUGCUCGAGUGGCGAACGGGUGAGUGACACGUGAGUAACCUGCCCUUGACUGUGGGAUAACUUCAGGGAACUGGGGCUAAUACCGCGGAGGAGCUACUGCUGCAUGGUGGUGGUUGGAAAGUUUCGGCGGUUGGGGCUGGACUCGAGGCUUAUGAGCUUGUUGGGGGGGUAGUGGCGUACCAAGGCUUUGACGGGUAGCCGGCCUGGGAGGGUGACCGGCCACAUUGGGCCUGAGAUACGGCCCAGACUCAUACGGCCGGCAUCAGUGGGGACUAUUCCACACUGCGCGGAGGCCGGAAGGAGCAACGUCGCGUCCGGGAGGACGGCGUUCGGGUUGUAACCAGCUUUCGCGUGUCACGACGCGUCAGUGCCGGUACUGGGCAAAGAAGCACGGCCUACCUCCGG